rnacentral:tRNA from 1 species
GCUUUGUUGGCUCAGUCGGUAGAGCGUCAGUCUCAUAAUCUGAAGGUCGUGAGUUCGAACCUCACACAGAGCA